CCUACGGGAGGCAGCAGUGAGGAAUAUUGGUCAAUGGCCGGAAGGCUGAACCAGCCAUGCCGCGUGAAGGGCAGGGGCCUAAGGGCGUUAAACUUCUUUUGUGCGGGAGCAAUAAUGGUCACGUGUGGCCAGACGAGAGUACCGUACGAAUAAGCAUCGGCUAACUCCGUGCCAGCAGCCGCGGUAAUACGGGGGAUGCAAGCGUUAUCCGGAUUUAUUGGGUUUAAAGGGUGCGUAGGCUGUGAGGUAAGUCAGCGGGGAAAUGCCCCCGCUCAACGGGGUGAAGUGCCAUUGAUACUGCCUUGCUGGAAUGCGGAUGCCGUGGGAGGAAUGUGUGGUGUAGCGGUGAAAUGCAUAGAUAUCACACAGAACACCGAUUGCGAAGGCAUCUCACGAAUCCGCGAUUGACGCUGAUGCACGAAAGCGUGGGUAUCAAACAGGAUUAGAUACCCUUGUAGUC
rnacentral:rRNA from 1 species